rnacentral:rRNA from 1 species
UUGAUAGGCCGGAUGUGGAAGUGCAGUAAUGCACGUAGCUUACCGGUACUAAUUGGUCCAUUGGCUUUAUUUA